GACGAACGCUGGCGGCGUGCUUAACACAUGCAAGUCGAACGGAGUGGCGAACGGGUGAGUAACACGUGGGUGAUCUGCCUUGCACUUCGGGAUAAGCUUGGGAAACUGGGUCUAAUACCGGAUAGUGCAAGAUGAGCUCGCGGCCUAUCGGCUUGUUGGUGGGGUAAUGGCCUACCAAGGCGUCGACGGGUAGCCGGCCUGGGAGGGUGUACGGCCACAGUGGGACUGAGAUACGGGCCAGACUCCUACGGGGGGCAGGAGUGGGGAAUAGUGCACAAUGGGCGGAAGCCUGAUGCAGCGACGCCGGGUGGGGGAUGAAGGCUUUCGGGGGGUAAACUCCUUUGGACAGGGACGCGGUACCUGUAUAAGAAGCACCGGCUAACUACGUGCCAGCAGCCGCGGUAAUAC
rnacentral:rRNA from 1 species